rnacentral:misc_RNA from 1 species
AUCGUUCUGGAUUUGCACCAGCUAGGAAAAAGCCUACUGGGGAACACCAUAGAGAUAGGAAAUCAGUGCGAUGUGGAUGUGAUGCGAAAAUGUAUUUAUCAAAGGAAGUUGUUGAAGGGGUUUCUCAAUGGUUUGUUGUGCAAUUUAGCAAUGUACAUAAUCAUGAACUUUUGGAAGAUGACCAAGUGCGGCUUCUUCCUGCUUACCGGAAAAUUCAUGAGGCAGAUCAGGAGAGAAUUCUGUUGCUUUCAAAAGCUGGGUUUCCAAUACAUCGCAUAGUGAAGGUGCUGGAGUUGGAAAAAGGGAUUCAGGGUGGACAACUGCCUUUUCUGGAGAGGGACGUAAGGAAUUUUGUUCAAAACCGGAAGAAAAUUGUUCAAGAGAAUGAUGCUUUGCUAACUGAAAAAAGAGAAAAUGAUACAAUGGAACUUCUUGAGGCAUGCAAGGCAAUGAAAGAGGUGGAUGAAGAUUUUAUUUAUGAUUAUACGGUUGAUGAGAAUGAUAAGAUUGAGAAC